CAUCUACGGCCAUAGGACUCAGAAAAUACCGCAUCCCGUCCGAUCUGCGAAGUCAAGCUA
rnacentral:rRNA from 1 species